GAAUGAUGUAAUGAUUUCAGGAGCUCAGUA
rnacentral:piRNA from 1 species